UUACUAUGAUGGCUGAGUCUAAGCGGCAGACUGUAGAUCUGUUAACGGAGUUAACUCUCCUCAGUAAU
rnacentral:tRNA from 1 species